rnacentral:rRNA from 1 species
UGGGGAAUUGUUCGCAAUGGGCGCAAGCCUGACGACGCAACGCCGCGUGGAGGAUGAAGAUCUUCGGGUCGUAAACUCCUGUCGAGCGGGAAGAAACCCGCGGGGGUGAAUAAUCCCUGCGGUUGACGGUACCGCUAAAGGAAGCCCCGGCUAACUCCGUGCCAGCAGCCGCGGUAAUACGGGGGGGCAAGCGCUGUUCGGAAUUACUGGGCGUAAAGGACUCGUAGGCGGCCAACUAAGUCGGACGUGAAAUCCCCAGGCUCAACCUGGGAACUGCGUCCGAUACUGGAUGGCUUAAAUUCGGGAGAGGGAUGCAGAAUUCCAGGUGUAGCGGUGAAAUGCGUAGAUAUCUGGAGGAAUACCGGUGGUGAAGGCGGCAUCCUGGACCGACAUUGACGCUGAGGAGCGAAAGCCAGGGGAGCGAAACGGGAUUAGAUACCCCGGUAGUCCUGGCCCUAAACGAUGAAUGCUUGGUGUGACGGGUAUC